UACGGAGGGUGCAAGCGUUAUCCGGAUUCACUGGGUUUAAAGGGUGCGUAGGCGGGUAUUUAAGUCAGUGGUGAAAUCCUAGAGCUUAACUCUAGAACUGCCAUUGAUACUAUUUAUCUUGAAUAUUGUGGAGGUAAGCGGAAUAUGUCAUGUAGCGGUGAAAUGCUUAGAUAUGACAUAGAACACCUAUUGCGAAGGCAGCUUACCACGCAUAUAUUGACGCUGAGGCACGAAAGCGUGGGGGAUCAAACAGGAUUAGAUACCCUGGUAGUCCACGCCCUAAACGAUGGAUACUCGACAUACGCGAUACACUGUGUGUGUCUGAGCGAAAGCAUUAAGUAUCCCACCUGGGAAGUACGACCGCAAGGUUGAAACUCAAAG
rnacentral:rRNA from 1 species